AUUUGGUGGGAAGGGAUGAGUCUAUUACAUCGACCCCAGUGUUUCACUGGUACUCAAUUUAUCGACCCCGAAAGGAUGAAAGGCAAAGUCGACCUCAUUAGAAUUUGAAUGCAGAAUAAAUGAGACACACAAAAUCUUG